AAUCCAUGAUGUGGGCAUUAUCUGACCAUAUUUUUCUAUCUCUCCCAUGCUUCAAAUAAUGAUUCAGAGUCUGACUGUCUGAAGCUUGCUAUUAAAUUUCUCAUAUG